GAUGAACGCUAGCGGGAGGCUUAACACAUGCAAGUCGAGGGGCAGCACGGGGUAGCAAUAUUCUGGUGGCGACCGGCGCACGGGUGAGUAACACGUAUGCAACCUACCCUGUACAGGGGGAUAACCCGGAGAAAUUCGGACUAAUAUCCCAUGAUGAUAUUUGAAGGCAUCUUUAAAUAUUUAAAGCUCAGGCGGUACGGGCUGGGCAUGCGGAACAUUAGCUAGUUGGGAGGGUAACGGCCUACCAAGGCAUCGAUGUUUAGGGGACCUGAGAGGGUGAUCCCCCACACUGGUACUGAGACACGGACCAGACUCCUACGGGUGGCAG
rnacentral:rRNA from 1 species